CACGCAGGCGGUUUUUUAAGUCAGAUGUGAAAGGUACCGGCUCAACCGGUGACAUGCAUUUGAAACUGAAAGACUUGAGUAUUGGAGAGGCAAGUGGAAUUCCCGGUGUAACGGUGGAAUGUGUAGAUAUCGGGAAGAACACCGAUGGCGAAGGCAGGUCUCUGGGCCGUCACUGACGCUGAGGAGCGAAAGCGUGGGGAGCGAACA
rnacentral:rRNA from 1 species